rnacentral:rRNA from 1 species
UACAGAGGUCUCAAGCGUUGUUCGGAUUCAUUGGGCGUAAAGGGUGUGUAGGUGGCGCGCUAAGUCGGGUGUGAAAUUUCGGAGCUUAACUCCGAAACUGCAUUCGAUACUGGCGUGCUUGAGGACUGGAGAGGAGACUGGAAUUCAUGGUGUAGCAGUGAAAUGCGUAGAGAUCAUGAGGAAGACCAGUGGCGAAGGCGGGUCUCUGGACGGUUUCUGACGCUAAGACGCGAAAGCGUGGGGAGCAAACAGG